GAGUUUGAUCCUGGCUCAGGAUGAACGCUGGCGGCGUGCCUAAUACAUGCAAGUCGAGCGAACAGAUAAGGAGCUUGCUCCUUUGACGUUAGCGGCGGACGGGUGAGUAACACGUGGGUAACCUACCUAUAAGACUGGAAUAACUCCGGGAAACCGGGGCUAAUGCCGGAUAAUAUUUAGAACCGCAUGGUUCUAAAGUGAAAGAUGGUUUUACUAUCACUUAUAGAUGGACCCGCGCCGUAUUAGCUAGUUGGUGGGGUAAUGGCUUACCAAGGCAACGAUACGUAGCCGACCUGAGAGGGUGAUCGGCCACACUGGAACUGAGACACGGUCCAGACUCCUACGGGAGGCAGCAGUAGGGAAUCUUCCGCAAUGGGCGAAAGCCUGACGGAGCAACGCCGCGUGAGUGAUGAAGGUCUUCGGAUCGUAAAACUCUGUUAUUAGGGAAGAACAAAUGUGUAAGUAACUGUGCACGUCUUGACGGUACCUAAUCAGAAAGCCACGGCUAAC
rnacentral:rRNA from 1 species